rfam:Schistosoma margrebowiei strain Zambia genome assembly, scaffold: SMRZ_contig0001079
GCACUGCCGAAGAGUCUCAUAGUAGGACGAAACAGCCGUCCAGUGC